CCACCGUAGAUAAUAGUGUGGCCAAUUGCCGAUAUUCUGCCCUUUUAAGAGCGCUUGUUUUCUUCCACUGUUUUCUUGGAGUUUGACAAUGUCUCGUCGAACACUAUCCGGACUGUUCCUGAACAAGAAUACCUGACACAUAGCGUAAAACAUCACGACUGAAUCCCCUUAAUGGAAGUCGAACACGUUUCUUGAAGAUGUUGGAGUGGAGGGACACAAGUUAAGCCUAACUCCGAUAUAUCUGGAGCAAGAAGAUGGUGUUCCGUUGAACCGUUAAAAUAGAUCAGGGGGUUGUAAUUUCAUGCGAAAGGGAGAGAUACACUGCAACAACCCAGCCGAGUAUCAAUGUUGGUAAGUUGGCAGG
rnacentral:sRNA from 2 species